UAAUCGGUAUAAAUUUUCUCAUACAAUCUGAGAUUUUGAUAAGAAAAUUUUCAAUCAGGGGUGUAUUCUCUGAGAUUUUGAGCAACUAAAAUGUUAUUGUCAAAAAUUUAUUUGCUAUUCUGUUGCAGAGCUCUUAUUUUGUGUUCUUUGAAUUGUGAUUUAGUUUUUUUAAUUAAAAAUUUAGUAAUUUCAUUGUUCUCAACUUUGGGUGAAGGUUUACUCUGUCAAAUCUAAACAAAUGCUAAAUGCUAUAAACGCUAUUUUUUAACAUCAAAUUUAAAAAAAAACACUACAUGCUAGAUGCUAUUAAAAAAAAGAAGAAGAUUUGUUUAAUAUAACACGUGUCCCUUUUCCACUUUCCUAUCACACGCUCCAUCUUUUCUGCCUUUUCGCGCCUAUCUGCUUCUUGUUUUCCCUCUUAUUUUUUUUAUUUUUUUUUUCUGGUUCUCUCUUCUCCCACGCCUACGCCUCUGCCUCCUCUCUCUUUGUUUUUUAUUUUUAUUUUUUAUUUUCUUCGUUCUCGCUCGACCCAAGUCGCUGCUUCCCUUCACUACUUACUCCCUCUGACUGACUGAACCCACAAUCACAAACGCAAGCAUUCUCUCUCUGACCGAACCCACUCUCCCUCUCCUCUCCCUGACCCAACCCAAAAACCCAGUCUUGAAACCCAUAUUCUCAUCUCAAAACCGAAGAUUCAAGGGAGGGGAGGGGAGGAUUAGGCUUCCAUUUGGGGAGGAUUAGGUUUUGGUUUGGGUUAGGGAUUUUGUGGGUCUUGUAUUGCUGAGUUUAUUUGCAGAUUCUGACAUGAAGAAUGCACAGAAACUGUUUGAUGAAAUGUGUGAAAAAAGAUGUUAUCUCUUGGACUCUGAUAAUUACUGGUUAUGUGCAAAAUGAGGAAGCGAAGUUUUAUACAGGUAACAAGUAUGCAGCGGCCAACAAAUGCAACGACGACUUCUGUAAAUGAGCUUAGGUUGAUUACUUUAUGGGCUCUCUUAUGAGCUUCAGAAGCUGAAAAUACUUGUGAGAUUUCCUCCAAACUUCAAAAUCUAAUGAUCUUUAGCUCCACGGUAAGUAUGUUCUGCUUGAGGAGGUACACAAGUUAUCAUCUCUGAUGCCUAUUAUUGUCAUUAUCAAAGAUGUUUUUAAGAUAUAUUUUGCCACAUUUCAAAUCCUAUAUAUACUUUCACAAUAUAGCAUGUUCUGCAUAUGUACUCUUAAUGUUUUCGCUCUGUUUAAGCAGAUAACUUUUCGUUGAAGCUUUACAAUAGCAAAUAACCUUGGCGAAGUUUAUACAAAGGCACAGGUUAGGACUUCAGAUACAGCAAACAGACAGCCGUGCAGAUGUAGCUUUCCUCUUCGAACUUUACAUUCAAACAAGAGAGUGGGAUCUUCCAGUUAUGGCACAAAGCUCUGUAUGUUUGAGUCCUUCACAUCCCCUUGAUUCCCCCUUCAUCAUUCUUUGAAUCAUGAGGGUUUGAUUCGACCAUGCUUGUUUAACCCGAGGCUCGAGUAUUCUACGCUCUGUGCGUCAUGCUUGCCUUUUUAUAAUUAUCUAACAACAAUCCAUAAUUCAUUCUAGGAUUUUAUUUCACCAUGCUCAUUUAAUCCUAUCUAUCUUGUCGGGAUUUGAUUCGACCAUGCUUGUUUAAUCUCAUAAGGGUUUGAUUCGGCUGUGCUCUUUUAAUCCUAUCUUUAUCCAAAAUCUCUCUCGAGAUUUGAUUUAGCCGUGCUCAUUUAAAGGGGGAAGUUUUUCAGAGUGUCAAAGGUGCUAGAUCAAGACCGGUUUUAAUUUUGGUAAAUCUUAAUAUAAAAAGUUACACAUAACAGAUGUAGCGUAUUACAUGAAAAAACAUGUGAUUAUUUAGAAAGUAAGGCUCCUUAUUAUGAACUCAAAUCAAUUAUGAUUAUCUACAUAUAUAUAUAUAUAUAUAUAUAUAAUACUACAUAAAAAGUAGAACUCUUUUCCUGCGAUUAAGGCCGUGCUGCCACAUAGGAAAAAAGACCCAUCUAAAAAUCUGCCACCUUCACAAUUAAAAAGCGAUAAAUUAUAUUGUUUCACAAGGUUAAAACACCAUUUGAGAGGCACAAUUAAAAAGCAAUAAAUUAUAAUGUUUCACUCAUUAAAACACUGUUUCGUUUUGGGAGCCUCUCAAUCAAUAUAAAUAGAUAAGUAACCACUUAAAUCAGUUAAUUACAAUCAAAGAUUGCUACACGGAGAAAGGAGAAAGAGAGAUGGAGAGAAAAGAGAUUCAGGGAAAGGCUUAGAAAUUCAGAGGUAGAGAGGGAGAGAGAAUUUGUUAGAGUCGGCCAUCUCCAUCAGUUUUCCCGCCAUUGAUGUCUGAAUUAACACCGGUAGAGAGAGACAGAUACAAAGAAAUAGAGAGAAGGGCACCACCCAGCUCUUUUGCCAUCACCGUAAGCCUCCACUCACUACCCGACUAUCAGAAUCUCUACUGGUAAAGUUUUGUUUUAAAUUUAAAAAUUUAGGGUUUUUGGUUUUUAUUUGGAGAAUCAUUUGGGUGUUAAUUAUGAUUUAGAUUGGUAUUUUGGGUCAGAUUUGGUUUUGGUUUUGAUUUACAUUGUUUGAGGAUUCUUUAUAAGGAAAAAAAAAAAAAAAAACCAUUUAAAAAACAGUCACACUCAAAAAGCAAACUCUGAAACACCGCAACCCCAAACCUUUUGUGCCAAUAUUCACUGAUUCAAACAAAACACCGAUAUACUCCAACCUGUCUUCUAUUUCUUCGUCUUCAUUGCCCAAAUCUCAAACAAACCCUUCAAAACCUCAUAAAUCUCCCCUUAGACCCUUCCUUUGCAUCUCCAACAUCCCUAAACCACCACCUAUUUUUCCAUUCCUAAGGUUUAGGUUGGCGUUUACGAUGUAGUAUCGGUUGUGUAUACAUUGUUGUUUUUGGCAUGCCGACUAAUUGGUGGUUGAGACAGAUCAAGUUUCAGGGACUAAGAUAGUUUCGUUGGGGAGAUGCUAUGUUGUUUUCGCUUAAUGGGUUUUGGCCAGAAUCAUAUCGGCGUUGGGUAGACAAUACAGUGUGUUGACUUUUGUUUUUGAUUUUGCUAUUACUCUUGCUCUGCCUAUGCCUCUGCCUCUGCGUGCCGUUUGGUUUCAUUGGGGUUGCGUUGCUCUGUGUUGCUUUUGCUUUUUUGCCAUUUACUCUCUAUAAUUCUCACGUUACCCCAUUUGUGGGAUCAAUCCCUUUUGUUUUGUAUUUGUAUUUGUAUUUGUAUUUUCCCCUAAUCAUAAUAUAAGAAUAUGCAUUUAUUAAAAUUGAUGGAGGACUCGAGAUUUUGGUAAAUGGUAAUAAGAAUUGGGGUAACGUGAGGCUUUUUUUGUUGUUCUUAAAUUUUAAUUAUCUUAAGAGCUGUAGCAUAUUUGAUAGUUUGAUUGGUGGUGCAUUAUUGAGUUUCAAUUUUAAGGAUAAUAAUUAUAAUUACUAUGAGUAUCCAUUGGUUGGUAUGCAUUGGUUGUGAAAAUGCAGUGAUAGUUUGAGUGGACAUGCUGAGAGAGAUACUAUUUAUUUAUAAUAAUUAUACUAAUAUUAUUCUGUCACUGUACACUGGUGUUUGAUUUGUGGCUUAGCCAAUUUUAUAGAAAUAAUUGUAUUAGUGACAUAACUAUUAUUGUAUAAAUUUGUUACGGGCAUAGCCAGUUUUGUAGAAAUUAUUGUCAUGUUACUAUAAGAUUUCUUAAAAAAUUAGUUUACUCAAACAUAUUAAUUCCAGCUGCUGCAUAAAAUGAAUAAAUAAAUAAAGAAAAUUCACAAUUACAAGAAAAACUCAGUGAUGACACAAUUUUUUCUCUAAGAAAACUUAGUCUAACUAAAAUUCUGUUAUUCUGUUAUUUGAGAAUGCUGAAAUCAAUCUAAACUACUGAAGUACAAAAUUGAAAGAAGAGACAAAAGAGGGAAAAAGUACAAGUGCUCACACGAAUGAGUUCUAUUGAAACUCUACUACUCUACUAACAAAUAGAUGAAAAGGAAUCAGAAUCAAUGUGUUUAGAAUAUGUAACUACAGCAAAACGAUAAACCAAAGGAAAAAAAUGACAAAUUAUUUUAAACAAAGAGAUCUCAAUAAUGUUUAACAUGGGUUAACUAAUUAAAUAUUUUGGACCUCUUAAAGGCCAAACCUGUUUGGAAGCUGAAUUUGAGGACAACUGGACAUCCAGACCAGAUUGAUAGGGAGAUUGAGAGUUAUGUAAUCUGAUGAACAAUCUACUUGCUUGAUUAAUAAUAGUCUUAGGCCUUUUAUACAAGAUUGCUCUGUAAUUCCUUACCAAAUAUCCAACCAACUAAUAUCUUCACAACACUAACUAACCCACUCAGCAACUACAGCAGUUAACCAAGCAUUGACUAACCAUUAACCACAGUUAACUGACACAAGCAGCAACAGUAAUGUGAACAGUAACCCAAUACAACAGUAGAGUAAUAGUAAACUCUAACAACCUCUAACGCACUAAUAUGUGUAUGUUAGAUUACACGUAAAUAAUAUAAACAAUGUUUUGAAUUUUAUAAAAAUGCUAUAUAGAAACAAUAUUUUUUUAUUAUUUUUAAUAUUCUUUAUAUUAGACUUUAAAUACGAAGAUUAAUGAAAAGGUUCAGCAAUCGAGUUAUCUUUAGAAAGAGAAUGUAAAUCAAUAGUUUAUCUAUAUGUUUAGCUAUCUAUUUUCAUGAAAUUUCAAGCCAAUUGAGUUACAAGUGAAAAGAAAAGGGUUGAAAAUAUAUGAUAAAUUUAAGAAACAAAGAAGACGAGAAAGAGAAAAAAUAUACCUUUUAUUGGAAGAAUUUCAUCUUUUUGGUUAAAAUCAGAGUGACUUAUUGUAGUGCGUAUGUGGGAAAAAGGGACUUCUGUAACUAUGAUAUCAAAUACUCAAGGUUCUUUCUCUUUCAGGUUUGUUUUCUUUUACUAACUUUUUUUUUCGUGUUUUUUUUUUUUUUUCCCCACCAUUGUAUAUGAUUGUCAUUAUUAACAUGUGUAGGGUCACGUUUUGGACCUUAGACCAGUGAGCCUGGUACAAUGAAUUUAGAUAUGAUUCAUUCUCAUUGAUGUCCACUUUUAUUAAGUUGUUUCUCUUACACGUACACAAGCUGUUUGAUAAAAUUCCUAAGUGAUUUUUUGUUUUUGUUCUAGAAGUCACAUUACAUGGAGAGUGGUAAGGAGGAAGACAAGUCGGGAAUGUGAUGCUGUGUUGUUGAUUUAAUCAGGGGCAAAUAGGUUAUGCCAUUGUUCCUAUGAUUGUAAGGGGAAUCAUGUUGGGUCCUGAUAAGCUUGUGAUUCUGCACUUGCUUGAUAUUGAGCAGGCAGCUGAAUCCUUGAAUGGGAUAAGAAUGGAAAUGACUGAUGUUGCCUUUCCUCUUCUGAAAGACGUUGUUGAAGUGUGUAAAGAUGUCAAUAUUGCCGUUAUGCUUGGUAGAUACCCACGGAAGGAAAUUACGUUAAGGAAGGAUAUUUUGUCUACAAAUGUGUCUAUUUACAAGGCUCAAGCUUUGGCCUUGGAGGAGCAUGAUGCUGCAGAUUGCAAGGUGACCAUAUAAAUGCACUUGGAGGAGCAUACUGUUGAUGCCAAAACAAUUCAAAUCACAAGUGACAAUUCAAGAAGAGAUGAACAUCAACAGAAGAACCAUUAGUGAAAUAACAAAAAUUAUGUGGGACUUUGAUAAUAAGGCUUACAUUAUUUCAAAUGAAUAUAACAACAAAUUAUCAAGUGAACAAGAUGGUGAUUCUACAAAGUUUCAAAAAGUUUAUGUUCAAAGUUAUGUACAACUCACACCAACAUCUGUAAUCAAGGAAAACAAAAUGGCAUAUUUAGUGACUUCUACAAAGCAACAAAGGAAGAAGAUACAAAGAACACUUUAAAGUUGUCUUUCAAUUUAUUUGAAAUAUUGAUUGAGUAGUUUAAAUUUGUAUUUCAUACA